rnacentral:rRNA from 1 species
CAUUGGGAAGUUCAUUGUGCAAUUCAAUGUAUCUUGAGAGAUAAUCUUGUAUUAUGAGAGCUAGUGAUUAAAGAAGUAUAUAAUAAAAUUAUUUUAAAUUAAUUAUAAUUGUUUAGUAGAAUGAAUCGAAAUAUAAUAGGAUAAGCUAUAGAGAAGAGUACUGUGAAGGAAAGAUGAAAUAAAUUUGAAAAUUGAGUUAAUAAAAAGUAGUUAUAUAAAUUCGUACCUUGUGUAUCAGGGAAAACUAAAAUUGUCUGUAAAUUUGAGAAAUCCCGAAAAAAGAAGAGUUAAUUCAAAAAGAAAGUUUUCGUGUUAAUGAAAUUUUAAAUUUUGUUUUAGUAGUGAAAUGUUAGUCGAUUUUUUAUAUCUGGUUAUUAGAGAAUUAAAUUUAAUUUAGUUGCUUAAUGGUUGAAUAUAACUAAUAAGUAAUAAAGAAUAGGAGGGAAGAGCUUCUUAUUCUAUAAUGGUUAGAUUGUGAUUUAAAACUUAUUUAGAUUUGUUAAAUUAGGCUUAAAAACAGCCAUAUU